GAAUUCAGACAAACUCCGAAUGCCAAUUAAUUUAACUUGGGAGUCAGAACAUGGGUGAUAAGGUCCGUGUUCGAAAGGGAAACAGCCCAGACCACCAGCUAAGGUCCCAAAAUAUAUGUUAAGUGGAAAAGGAUGUGGCGUUGCCCAGACAACUAGGAUGUUGGCUUAGAAGCAGCCAUCAUUUAAAGAGUGCGUAAUAGCUCACUAGUCGAGUGACACUGCGCCGAAAAUGUACCGGGGCUAAACAUAUUACCGAAGCUGUGGAUUGUCCUUUGGACAAUGGUAGGAGAGCGUUCUAAGGGCGUUGAAGCAUGAUCGUAAGGACAUGUGGAGCGCUUAGAAGUGAGAAUGCCGGUGUGAGUAGCGAAAGACGGGUGAGAAUCCCGUCCACCGAUUGACUAAGGUUUCCAGAGGAAGGCUCGUCCGCUCUGGGUUAGUCGGGUCCUAAGCUGAGGCCGACAGGCGUAGGCGAUGGAUAACAGGUUGAUAUUCCUGUACCACCUAUA
rnacentral:rRNA from 1 species